rnacentral:rRNA from 1 species
AUGCCUAGGAAUCUGCCUAUUAGUGGGGGACAACGUUUCGAAAGGAACGCUAAUACCGCAUACGUCUACGGGAGAAAGCAGGGGACUUCGGGCCUUGCGCUAAUAGAUGAGCCUAGGUCGGAUUAGCUAGUUGGUGAGGUAAUGGCUCACCAAGGCGACGAUCCGUAACUGGUCUGAGAGGAUGAUCAGUCACACUGGAACUGAGACACGGUCCAGACCUCUACGGGAGGCAGCAGUGGGGAAUAUUGGACAAUGGGCGAAAGCCUGAUCCAGCCAUGCCGCGUGUGUGAAGAAGGUCUUGGAUUGUAAAGCACUUUAAGUUGGGAGGAAGGGUUGUAGAUUAAUACUCUGCAAUUUUGACGUUACCGACAGAAUAAGCACCGGCUAACUCUGUGCCAGCAGCCGCGGUAAUACAGAGGGUGCAAGCGUUAAUCGGAAUUACUGGGCGUAAAGCGCGCGUAGGUGGUUUGUUAAGUUGGAUGUGAAAGCCCCGGGCUCAACCUGGGAACUGCAUCAAAACUGGCAAGCUAGAGUACGGUAGAGGGUGGUGGAAUUUCCUGUGUAGCGGUGAAAUGCGUAGAUAUAGGAAGGAACACCAGUGGCGAAGGCGACCACCUGGACUGAUACUGACACUGAGGUGCGAAAGCGUGGGGAGCAAACAGGAUUAGAUACCCUGGUAGUCCACGCCGUAAACGAUGUCAACUAGCCGUUGGAAUCCUUGAGAUUUUAGUGGCGACACAACGCAUU